UCGAGAAUCUUCGGCAAUGGGCGCAAGCCUGACCGAGCGACGCCGCGUGUGCGAUGAAGGCCUUCGGGUUGUAAAGCACUGUCGAGGGGGAGGAAAGCCGCAAGGCCUGACCUAUCCCUGGAGGAAGCACGGGCUAAGUUCGUGCCAGCAGCCGCGGUAAGACGAACCGUGCGAACGUUAUUCGGAAUCACUGGGCUUAAAGGGCGCGUAGGCGGGUCUUCAAGUCAGGGGUGAAAUCCUCCGGCCCAACCGGAGAAGUGCUUUUGAUACUGGAGACCUCGAGGGAGAUAGGGGCAUGUGGAACUUCCGGUGGAGCGGUGAAAUGCGUAGAUAUCGGAAGGAACGCCGGUGGCGAAAGCGACGUGCUGGACCUCUUCUGACGCUGAGGCGCGAAAGCUAGGGGAGCGAACGGGAUUAGAUACCCCCGUAGUCC
rnacentral:rRNA from 1 species